rnacentral:lncRNA from 1 species
CGGUGGCCAAACGUGCGGCGCGGCGCCUCCUUGUGGCUGGUGGCCGCGGGCGUCAUAGAGCGCGGUGGGCCCGCUGGAGGCCUAGAGAGGCUCCACGCGCCCGGCCCCCUGCGGGAGACGGGAGGGGGAAGCCAGGCCCGCGACUCUCCAGUGGACAGAGGCACGUGAAGAAAGGAAUCUUGUAGGCCCUUAGUUGUCCAGCGCACCGUUAAGGACUUAUUGCUAUUGCCCCCGCUGUUAAUGGUAAUGCGGUGGACCCAGUUGUGACGGUGGCUAAUUGGGAAAGUGGCUUUAAUUAUCUCGUAAGUCCUUACCAAAACAACAACAGUAAUAAAGGGGGGCAGCUGUGACUUAGUGAUUCUUUUUAUCAGCAAAGCUCAGAUCAGAGAACCAGUGGUUCUAUGAUCCAAGAGCUGGUAACACAUGAGAAAGUCUUCCGACUACUGGCACAUACUAGGUGUGGUAGAAUAAUGGUGUCCCAAAUUUGUCUACUUCCUGAUCCCUGCAACCCGUGAAUAUGCCAUUUAACGUGGCAGAAGGGACUCUGUGCUAUGUGAUUAAGGAUCUUGAGAUGGGAAAAUCAACCUAGAUUAUCCAGGUGAGCUCGGUGGAAUCAUAUGGAUUCUUAAAAAUGAGAGUCAAGGAGUUCGGAGUCGAUAAUAGGAGUGGUGGCCAUAGAAUCAAGAGGUGGUGAUGUACAGCACAGUGACUGUAGUUGACAGUACUGUAUUGCAUACUGGAAAGUUAAUACAGUAGAUCUUAAAAGUUCUCAUCACACACACAGAAAGUUCUCAGGGGCGCCUGGGUGGCUCAGUCAUUUAAGCCCUGGACUCUUGAUUUCCUCUCAGGUCGUGAUCUCAGGGUGGUGAGAUGGAGCCCUGGGUGAGGCUCUGCCCACUGAGUGUGGAGCCUGCUUAAGAUUCUCUUCUCCCUCUGCCCCUCCUCUCACUCACUCAAAAAAAAGAAAAAGAUUCUCAUCACAAGGGAAAAAAUAUGUAGCUAUGUGAGGUGACGG